rnacentral:rRNA from 1 species
GGCAGAGGUGCCAAGCGUUAGGCGGAAUCACUGGGCUUAAAGCGUGUGUAGGCGGACUUGUAAGUACCUUGUGAAAUCCCACGGCUCAACCGUGGAACUGCUUGGUAUACUGCUUGUCUUGAGCCACUUAGGGGCUACCGGAACAAAUGGUGGAGCGGUGAAAUGCGUAGAUAUCAUUUGGAACGCCAAUGGUGAAAACAGGUAGCUGGGAGUGUGCUGACGCUGAGACACGAAAGCCAGGGGAGCGAACGGG